rnacentral:rRNA from 1 species
UGAGGAAUUUUCCACAAUGGGCGCAAGCCUGAUGGAGCAAUACCGCGUGAGGGAUGAAGGCUUUCGGGUCGUAAACCUCUUUUAAAUAGGAAGAUUAUGACGGUACUAUUUGAAUAAGCAUCGGCUAACUACGUGCCAGCAGCCGCGGUAAUACGUAGGAUGCAAGCGUUAUCCGGAAUUACUGGGCGUAAAGCGUGUGUAGGUGGCGCGUUAAGUUAAAUGUUAAAUCUUCAGGCUCAACUUGAAGGCCGCAUUUAAUACUGGCGUGCUCGAGGGUGGUAGAGGUAAGCGGAAUUAGCGGUGUAGCAGUGAAAUGCGUAGAUAUCGCUAGGAACACCAAUGGCGAAGGCAGCUUACUGGUCCACUCCUGACACUGAGACACGAAAGCGUGGGGAGCGAACGGG